GACGAACGCUGGCGGCGUGCUUAACACAUGCAAGUCGAACGGGCUCUGUCUGGCUGUGUGCUGGGUGGGGUUAGUGGCGAACGGGUGAGUAAUACGUGAGUAACCUGCCCUCUUCUUUGGGAUAAGCCUUGGAAACGGGGUCUAAUACUGGAUAUUCCUGUCUGGUCGCAUGGCUGGGUGGGGAAAGUUUUUUUCGGUGGGGGAUGGGCUCGCGGCCUAUCAGCUUGUUGGUGGGGUGAUGGCCUACCAAGGCGUCGACGGGUAGCCGGCCUGGGAGGGUGACCGGGCACACUGGGACUGAGAUACGGCCCAGACUCCUACGGGAGGCAGCAGUGGGGGAUAUUGGACAAUGGGCGCAAGCCUGAUGCAGCGACGCCGCGUGGAGGAUGACGGCUUUCGGGUUGUAAACCUCUUUCGUCGGGGGACAAGGCUCCGCUUGGUGGUGGGGUUGAGGGUACCCGGUGAAGAAGCGCCGGCUAACUACGUG
rnacentral:rRNA from 1 species